CCUACGGGGGGCAGCAGUGGGGAAUAUUGCACAAUGGGCGCAAGCCUGAUGCAGCCAUGCCGCGUGUGUGAAGAAGGCCUUCGGGUUGUAAAGCACUUUCAGCGGGGAGGAAGGCGGUGAGGUUAAUAACCUCAUCGAUUGACGUUACCCGCAAAAGAAGCACCGGCUAACUCCGUGCCAGCAGCCGCGGUAAUACGGAGGGUGCAAGCGUUAAUCGGAAUUACUGGGCGUAAAGCGCACGCAGGCGGUCUGUCAAGUCGGAUGUGAAAUCCCCGGGCUCAACCUGGGAACUGCAUUCGAAACUGGCAGGCUAGAGUCUUGUAGAGGGGGGUAGAAUUCCAGGUGUAGCGGUGAAAUGCGUAGAGAUCUGGAGGAAUACCGGUGGCGAAGGCGGCCCCCUGGACAAAGACUGACGCUCAGGUGCGAAAGCGUGGGGAGCAAACAGGAUUAGAUACCCGUGUAGUC
rnacentral:rRNA from 1 species